GCCUUACACCCAUUACAGCCUAGGAGCGGAGGCCCUGUGCACCGCCGUCCCGGGGUGGACUAGAAGCGGGGGUCUUCACUUUCCCUUUCACAGACGGAAACAGUCUCUGAGUUCAUGCUGGAGAAGCGGUAGCACACGGCCAGGUUGGCCUCUAACCUGAGAUCGGCCUGUCUCAGCCUCCCAGUGCCUUAGAGUGAUAGGCGUGGGCCCACACAGGCUACCUUAACUAAACUCCCUGCGGACCCACCUGCACACUGCGUGCUACCGCGUCUGCAGCUUGCGCCUCCUCGGUACCGGGACCAUGCGGACGUGCGCAGGAGGUUCUGGGCCUGAGCAGGGCACGCGCGUCCCCACCUUCCCACCAGUUCAUCCCCCUCACCCUGCAGAAGGACAGAGGGCACCUGGGUCUGUGCAGGCACAGGCAGCACCUGCACACAGAACUGCCCCAGCCCAGCCACGCAUUCCUUAGGCCAUGUCCCGGCGUUAAGCAAAGAAUGAUGCAGAGCCCAUUAAAGCACUCGUUAAAAAGAAGAAAGGGAAGAAGAACCCAGCAGGCGUGUGUGCUGACCCGGAGCGGGCAGGCGCCACAGCACUCGGUACACAGGCACCCCAAACCUCAGUUUGGCAAUCCGUCCCUGCUCCAGCCUGGUCCUCAGCUCCAGCUCUCUGCUGUGCCAGCAGGGCUCUCAGCCUCCCUGAAGAAGCAAGCGCUGCCUUCUUCCAGGCCCCAGCACAGCUGUCCUGGGCCUCUCCUCCCUCCAGGUGAGUCUCCCAUCUCUCCCAGCCCCAGGCCAUUGGCACUGAGCAGUCAGGUUCCGGGCCUGGCUGAUCUGCUCUGAACAGAA